rnacentral:lncRNA from 12 species
GUGAUGAAUGCCUCAUCUGGGGCAGAGUGGCCACUCCAUAAUCAUUGCUGCUCUAUUUGAACAUAUGCUUAGUUUCCAUGCAGAGGAGUCUAGCCGGCUCCAUGCACGUGGGCCUAGCUGCCAUGAGCAAUAUCUCGCAGUGCUUGUCACCGACAGCAUUUUCAUAUGCUAAUAAGAAUUAAUAAUUCAUGCUCAGUAAUCUGCCUGGUGUUUUUCCCAUCCUUCUUUCUUGCUGGAGGCCCAAGCAGACCAGACAUGAUGCUUUCCUGGAAGGAGGCUGUCUGCAGAGCCAUCUCCAUGGAGGGCAAGGAUGGGAAGAGCCCAAAGUCUCAUUCACCAUGUCUCCCAUGAAAGAUUAUAAGAGUCCCAUAAAGGAGCAGACCAGACGGCAAAGAGGAGGUGUUGAUGCCCAUCCACGAAAAUGGUCUUCCCCCCACUUCAAGAGCACAUCUACUUACACAAGCAUGGAGCCCAUUUCGCAGGAGGCGCUCGUAAAUGUUUAUUAAAUGAAUAUGUGGUAUUCAGCUUGUAGCAUUGCUCAGAUGGUUAAGAGUCAAAUGGGUGGUAAGUUUAUUAAACUCAGAGCUUUUUAGUGAUGUGACCCCAGAGCCUAUACAGAAUUGAGAGUCAGCAAAGAAGUGUUUGAGAUCAUGCACUUUACAAAGAUUUAUCCAGGGGAGACCGUCUCCACACCCACCUGCACUUUGUACAUUUGAAAAGGGGACUACCAUUUUCUGACUAAUCUAGGAAAGAUGUGCAAGCCAGGGUUGUUGCACCCAGCACAUGUUCAUUUCAUUAUUGUAUCCAUGAUUGAGAAAAUGAUCCCCUAUCAUUGUGAACAUCAGAUAAAAUAUAAAAUACACAAACUAUUCUUUUUUAGCCUCAAAAUCGGACUUCAUUAAAUCCCCUCCCCAGAUUAUUAAAGACUAAUUGCAGAUUGAGGAUUGACGUGAUGGUGGGGAGAGAGGGAAUAUGGGAUCAUAUGGAAGGAUGCAGCUGUCAGAAGCACCAGUGAGGUCAUUAUAGGAAACUUUGUACUCAGCCACUAUUCCACCAUUUGCUAUUUUCAUGACCCUGGUCAAGGAAUUGAACUUCUAUGAGACUCAUUUAUAAAAGCUAAUAUUGUCUUCCUCACUGGGUUGUGGUAAUGAUAGAAUCAGGUCACUUUUCUACCGUGCUUAGCAUCAUGCCCAGGACCUAAUAAGCAACAUUCUGAUGUCAGCCCUACCUGAAUAUGUAAUAACACAAAUCAUCCAACAUGCUUUUCAGAACACGACCAUCAAGGUGAAAAAACUGAAAUCAUGAGAGAGGAAUUUGCAUCUUGGGUGAUCAGUGGGAACCUUUGUCCCCAAAUGUAUUAUUUUCAAAUAAAUCAGUAAGUUCCAGUCUUUCUAAGCA